rnacentral:rRNA from 1 species
ACGGCAGCACAGCAGUAGCAAUACUGUGGGUGGCGAGUGGCGGACGGGUGAGUAAUGCAUCGGGACCUACCUGAACGUGGGGGAUAACGUAGGGAAACUUACGCUAAUACCGCAUACGUCCUACGGGAGAAAGCGGGGGACCUUCGGGCCUCGCGCGGUCAGACGGACCGAUGUUCGAUUAGCUAGUUGGUAAGGUAAUGGCUUACCAAGGCGACGAUCGAUAGCUGGUCUGAGAGGAUGAUCAGCCACACUGGAACUGAGACACGGUCCAGACUCCUACGGGAGGCAGCAGUGGGGAAUAUUGGACAAUGGGCGCAAGCCUGAUCCAGCAAUGCCGCGUGUGUGAAGAAGGCCUUCGGGUUGUAAAGCACUUUUAUCAGGAGCGAAAUACUACCGGUUAAUAACCGGUGGGGCUGACGGUACCUGAGGAAUAAGCACCGGCUAACUUCGUGCCAGCAGCCGCGGUAAUACGAAGGGUGCAAGCGUUAAUCGGAAUUACUGGGCGUAAAGGGUGCGUAGGCGGUUCGUUAAGUCUGUCGUGAAAUCCCCGGGCUCAACCUGGGAAUGGCGAUGGAUACUGGCGAGCUAGAGUGUGUCAGAGGAUGGUGGAAUUCCCGGUGUAGCGGUGAAAUGCGUAGAGAUCGGGAGGAACAUCAGUGGCGAAGGCGGCCAUCUGGGACAACACUGACGCUGAAGCACGAAAGCGUG